UCCCCAGUGGCGCAAUUGGUUAGCGCGGUACUUACAGCAGAUCUGCGAGUAAUGCUGAGGCUGUGAGUUCGAGCCUCACCUCGGGAA
rnacentral:tRNA from 13 species